rnacentral:rRNA from 1 species
GCCAGACUCCUACGGGAGGCAGCAGUGAGGAAUAUUGGUCAAUGGGCGGGAGCCUGAACCAGCCAAGCCGCGUGAAGGAAGAAGGCGCCAGGCGUCGUAAACUUCUUUUGUCGGGGAACAAAGGGCGCCACGCGUGGCGUUGUGAGUGUACCCGAAGAAAAAGCAUCGGCUAACUCCGUGCCAGCAGCCGCGGUAAUACGGAGGAUGCGAGCGUUAUCCGGAUUUAUUGGGUUUAAAGGGUGCGUAGGCGGACGCUUAAGUCAGCGGUAAAAUUGCGGGGCUCAACCUCGUCGAGCCGUUGAAACUGGGUGCCUUGAGUGGGCGAGAAGUACGCGGAAUGCGUGGUGUAGCGGUGAAAUGCGUAGAUAUCACGCAGAACUCCGAUUGCGAAGGCAGCGUACCGGCGCCCAACUGACGCUGAAGCACGAAGGCGUGGGUAUCGAACAGGAUUAGAUACCCCGGUAC